rnacentral:rRNA from 1 species
UACGUAGGGGGCAAGCGUUGUCCGGAAUUAUUGGGCGUAAAGCGCGCGCAGGCGGCCUUGUAAGUCUGUCGUUUAAACUCGAAGCUCAACUUCGAGUCGCGAUGGAAACUGCAAAGCUUGAGUGCAGAAGAGGAAAGUGGAAUUCCACGUGUAGCGGUGAAAUGCGUAGAGAUGUGGAGGAACACCAGUGGCGAAGGCGACUUUCUGGGCUGUAACUGACGCUGAGGCGCGAAAGCGUGGGGAGCAAACAGG